AUUUAUAUAGUUUAAUUAAAAACAUUACAUUUUCACUGUAAAAAUAAAAAUUUAUUUUUAUAAAUA
rnacentral:tRNA from 1 species